CUGUACAGCCGUACCACCCUGAACACACCCAAUCUUGUCUGAUCUUGGAAACUAAGCAGUUUCAGGCCUUGUGAUUACUUGGAGGGAGACAAAAAAAAUUAGCAGAGAAGC
rnacentral:rRNA from 1 species